UGAAGGGUCUGGAUAGAUAUAAACAGUUGUGUGGUGGAUCUGUAGGGUCUGGAUAGGUAUAAACAGUAUAGUGGUGGAUCUGUAGGGUCUGGAUAGGUAUAAACAGUAUAGUGGUGGA